rnacentral:tRNA from 10 species
GGGCACGUAGCUCAGCCAGGAUAGAGCGUCGGACUUCUAAUCCGAUGGCCGUGGGUUCGAAUCCCACCGUGCUCG